rnacentral:lncRNA from 1 species
CACUGUGCUGCCUCUGCCUGUCACCGCUGUGACCAGUUCAUCAGAGGCAGGCAUGAAGGUCCCCAGGAUGCAGCUGCCCCAGGACAAGUUAGUCCAUCUCUUCAGCACUCAGGAAAAGCCAAAUCCACCGAGUGCCGUGUGCCUUCCAUCUUGGAGGAAACCACAUUCUCGCCUCAUGUUGUCCAGCUUGACAUCAGAGUGAGAAGCAAUGAAGAGAAAGGAGACCAUGAGAGAGCAGCAAGGAGGACCAGGACAUCCAGGAUCCGACAGGAGCGAGAAGACGACGGCCGUUCCAGACCCAGUUCAGCGGUGUGCGGCUGCAUAUCUACUGGGUUCUCGGGCCUGUGCUAAACCGACUGAGGGUUUAGCCAUUAUGAUUGAGCCAAUGCCCCUACCAUCAAAAAGGCAGAAGAAGGUGCAGCAAUACCCUGCAGCCAGGAAGCCCCAGCGACACCUCAUGGCCCCCAGGACACAGCCAGACCCGACCACCUCCUGUACCCAGCUGCCCCGGGACAAGUUGGUCCGUCUCUUCAGCACUCAGGAAAAGCCGAAUCCACCGAGUGCCGUGUGCCUUCCAUCUUGGAGGAAGCCGCAUUCUCACCUCAUGUCGUCCAGCACGACAUCAGAGCGAGAAGCAAUGAAGAGAGAGGCUCAGCGGCAGCGAGAAGAGGCGGCCAGGAUCACCCGUAAUGGGGUAGACUGCAGUGUACUGGCUGACCGCUGGCACUACCCGUACAUCUGGCCUAAUUAAUGGUAAGUAAGUGAGAGGUAAGUGAAGUAAUAUGCAAUAAGUUAGGUAGUAAUACUUAUUUAGUAAUAUGUAGUAAGUUAGGUUAUACUAUUUAGUUAUAUGUAGUAAAUAGGGUAAUUAGUAUAGACAGGACAUAUAAUUCAUAUGAUGUCUGUGUGUUUAUGUGUGUAGUUCUAGUGACACGGUAGUACAGUGCUUGGAGAUAUGAGCCACCCGUAGGCCAUAUAUCAAGAAAAGCUUGAACAUACACUGCCUUUCCUCACACAUCUACACACAAACCUCGCACAUACAACACGUUUACUUGAUAUAUGGCCUAAGGGAUGCCU